rnacentral:rRNA from 1 species
GACGAACGCUGGCGGCGUGCUUAACACAUUCAAGUCGAACGGAAAGGCCCUGCUUUUGUGGGGUGCUCGAGUGGCGAACGGGUGAGUAACACGUGAGUAACCUGCCCUUGACUUUGGGAUAACUUCAGGAAACUGGGGCUAAUACCGGAUAGGAGCUCCUGCUGCAUGGUGGGUGUUGGAAAGUUUCGGCGGUUGGGGAUGGACUCGCGGCUUAUCAGCUUGUUGGUGGGGUAGUGGCUUACCAAGGCUUUGACGGGUAGCCGGCCUGAGAGGGUGACCGGCCACAUUGGGACUGAGAUACGGCCCAGACUCCUACGGGAGGCAGCAGUGGGGAAUAUUGCACAAUGGGCGGAAGCCUGAUGCAGCAACGCCGCGUGCGGGAUGACGGCCUUCGGGUUGUAAACCGCUUUCGCCUGUGACGAAGCGUGAGUGACGGUAAUGGGUAAAGAAGCACCGGCUAACUACGUG